CGGCAGCACAGCAGUAGCAAUACUGUGGGUGGCGAGUGGCGGACGGGUGAGUAAUGCAUCGGGACCUACCUAGACGUGGGGGAUAACGUAGGGAAACUUACGCUAAUACCGCAUACGUCCUACGGGAGAAAGCAGGGGACCUUCGGGCCUUGCGCGGUUAGACGGACCGAUGUUCGAUUAGCUAGUUGGUAGGGUAAUGGCCUACCAAGGCGACGAUCGAUAGCUGGUCUGAGAGGAUGAUCAGCCACACUGGAACUGAGACACGGUCCAGACUCCUACGGGAGGCAGCAGUGGGGAAUAUUGGACAAUGGGCGCAAGCCUGAUCCAGCAAUGCCGCGUGUGUGAAGAAGGCCUUCGGGUUGUAAAGCACUUUUAUCAGGAGCGAAACGCUGUCGGCUAAUACCCGGCGGAACUGACGGUACCUGAGGAAUAAGCACCGGCUAACUUCGUGCCAGCAGCCGCGGUAAUACGAAGGGUGCAAGCGUUAAUCGGAAUUACUGGGCGUAAAGCGUGCGUAGGCGGUUUGUUAAGUCUGUUGUGAAAUCCCCGGGCUCAACCUGGGAAUGGCAAUGGAUACUGGCAAGCUAGAGUGUGAUAGAGGAUGGUGGAAUUCCCGGUGUAGCGGUGAAAUGCGUAGAGAUCGGGAGGAACAUCAGUGGCGAAGGCGGCCAUCUGGAUCAACACUGACGCUGAGGCACGAAAGCGUGGGGAGCAAACAGGAUUAGAUACCCUG
rnacentral:rRNA from 1 species